rnacentral:lncRNA from 1 species
CUCAAUAUGCUUACAUGAAAACUCUCUGCAAAGUGGUUUACCGUGCUUAAGCUUUGAUUUGAAAUUUUCUUUAGUUUAUCUUUUCGUGUGUUUGCCUUGGUAAACUUUGAAUUUGCUUCUGUAAAAGUUCAACUAUGGUUCCUGCAUUGUCUAUCUUAAUCAUUUACUUUAUUAAAACAUCAAAAUUUAAGUUAUAUUAAUCCUUAUCUUUUCUUUGUCUCAUGUGAACUCGGGAGCGCAAUUGGAGUUUAUGACUCGACUCCAUCUCUCUCCAUAUCGGAGAAGCGAUAACAAAUACAUUAUGGAUCUCAGUCAAUCAGUCUAGUUCCUCAUCCUUAUUUUUAGCUUUAUUCCUCUUUGUUGUUGUUGUUGUUGUUAUUAUUAAUAUUUUAUUUUAUUUUUAUGACAACAAUAAGGUUGCAUAUUUUAGGAUUUAUCUUUUAAAAUUUUCAAAAAAAGUGAGUGAACCUUUCUAAAAAACUUUUUCAAUAAUUAACAUGUUUUGUUUUAAUAAGACGAUUAUAUUUUUAAUACCUUAUUUAUAUCUUUCUUAACGAAGCUUUUACUUUUUUUUAUCUAAUCUAAGUUUGGCCGGUUAACUGUAGUUAGCGGAUCCUUUAGGAUGCCUAAUCCCUUCCCUUUAGGAUAAUUAGAAUCCUUACUUAGAAUUUUAGGUUUUUGCAGACCUUAAAAUGAAGUCUUUAAUUGCUUUAAUCACAUAGUUUAUAACAGGUGUCCUAAUUCACCGUAGAACUAAUUAGGUGGCGACUUCCUUAUUUAACUCAGAAGUUUUCCAAUAUGUUGUACACUAUUUUGACCUCGUGUUAAAAUGGGGUAUAACAAUAUGUUUUUGCACCUAAGCAAUAGCAAUCAAUCUCUAUUCCAAAUUAACACAAUUUUUUCAGGCUAAUUUCUAAAUACCUUUAAAAGUUGUUUUUUUUUUUUUUUAAAUAACAAAAUCAAAAAUAAAUUCAAAUCUAAAAGCCAGAUUUAGUAAUUAAUUAUCACUUCAUAAAAUCCAUUUGAAUUAGUCAUGCUAGAUCUUAGUGUUCAUUAUGAUACAAAUAUACCACAUCAACUCCUUAAGUACCGGCGAUGAAAUUUCAUUGAUACAGAGCCAAUUUCAAUAGAAGUAUUGAGAAAAUCAUAAUGUACUUUGAUGAUCGAUACAAAAAAGUUAUAUACUGAUAGUAUAAAGAAUUUUUACAUUAUCAGUGUAACUCGAUGACCUGUGUAUAAGAAAUCUACAAACAUUCAUACUGACAAAACACUACAUAAAGACCAGAUAAAACACUCAAGAAAUGGAAGUGUUUAGUAUCUUUCUCUAUCACUGUUUGAUUUAUCACUUGCAAUACGAUCAACAUGACUUCUAAUAGUUUGCAAUGCAGGUGGUGAUUUGCUAGUGUCUUCUGCAUUUUCCUCCUUAUGAUCAUCGUCGUGUUUCUUGAUAUUCAAUAUAAACUCUAACGCGUUCACUACUUCGCUGAUUAGAGGUCGCAUUCUGGAGUCCUCUUGCAG